UACGGAGGGUGCAAGCGUUAAUCGGAAUUACUGGGCGUAAAGCGCACGUAGGUGGUUUACUAAGCCAGCUGUGAAAUCCCCCGGGCUCAACCUGGGCACUGCAGUUGGAACUGGUAAGCUAGAGUAGGGUAGAGGGGGUGUGGAAAUUCCAGGUGUAGCGGUGAAAUGCGUAGAUAUCUGGAGGAACAUCAGUGGCGAAGGCGACACCCUGGACCUGCACUGACGCUCAUGCACGAAAAGCGUGGGGGAGCAAACAGGAUUAGAAAACCGUCGGUA
rnacentral:rRNA from 1 species